AUUUCUUUGGGCCGCUCCCGUGGCAUAUGGAGGUUCCCAGGCUAGGGGUCGAAUCGGAGCUGCAGCCACUAGCCUACGCCAGAGCCACAGCAACGUGGGAUCCGAGCUGCGUCUUCGACCUACACCACAGCUCACGGCAACGCCGGAUCCUUAAUCCACUGAGCAAGGGCAGGGACCGAACCCACAACCUCAUGGUUCCUAGUCGGAUUCGUUAACCACUGCGCCACGACGGGAACUCCCUUACAAAAACUCUUAACAAGGAAAUUGAAAUGAAGCAGCUUCCAACUAUGCACAUCAUGAAUUGCCUCUAUUGACAUUAUAAAAUGUUAUGAAACAACACAUCAAAACCAAUGAAAAUAAAACAUGCAAAUAUUGGAUGGAAACCGUUCCAACAAAUAUUGGGCUGACUCGUGGUGCCAUGCUUCUGCCUCCUCCUGUCAAAAGAAAUAGAGUCAAAAGCAACAGAGGAAGAGCUGCCGUGAGGGGAUGCUUAGCGCCUCCCCACCUAGCAGAGCUGCAGAAGGUGAUCUUUGGGAAGAACUUUCCAGACUCUUGAGCAUGUGGGGGCAUGAAGAUCAUAGAACUGCAGACUUUUUAGAGGCUAAAGGAAGCUCGGAGAUGAUCUAGGGGCGCAAUCUCUGCAUUUUACGGAUAGAGAAACAGCCAAGAGGCUGAGCAGUCUGCACAAGCCACAUCUAACACACAACAGCCGCAGCAGUAAGAAGGUGCUGGGUGUUCUAGGAAAUGCUUCACAUACAGCAAUGUGUUUAAUCCUAUUCAUCCAUUCUUCGUUCAUUCAUUUAACAAGUAUUUAUUGGGUGUUUCUCAUGUUCCUGGCACUGUUCUAGGUGCGGGGGACACAGUGAACAAGAUAGGCAAAGACCCCUGCCCUAUGGCACUAGCAUUCAGAGUGGGCGUAGGGCAGACGAAAAUAAUUUUAAAAACAGAUAGAUAACCAUGACGAUGAUGGAGAGAUGGUACAGUGUAUAACAAAGUGGAAGGUGCCAGAGAGCAAAAGAGAGCAGGGAAGGGGGUCCAGAGGGCCGGGGAGGCAGAGUUGUAAGUUGAAACAGCAUGGUCAGGGGGGACCUCACUGAGAUGACGUUCAAGCCAAGACAAAGGAAGUGACCCUUCUCCCCAUUUACACGUGAGAUGAUGGAAACGUCUAGAUCGGAAUGGAAAAUGUCAGGGCCAGCUUAGGGGAUCUCGAGGGAAAUGGAAUCCAGAGGCAGAGGGUGGAGGAGAGAGAUCUUGGAGUGCCCAGGAAGAAAGCCCCACGGACUCCAAUCCUGGGUGAUUUUCGGUGUCACUGCCCGGGGCUCUCUAAGAGAACUCGGCCUCCCGCCCCAUCCCCUUCCUCCUCCCUCCCCCGCCUGCCAUGGCAGAGGCCCCACCCACAUGGUUGUCCAAUCCUCAGGAGGGGCCAAAUUGUCCUCAGCACCUCCUCCUUCCUCUCUCCUCGGAAGGCACCCAUCACCACUCGGGCCACCACAGACUACAAGGCUGGAGGCUGGUGUCAGGUCUAUCCUUCUGUAGACCAGGCCUGAGGACCCUCACUCUGCCCCCCAGGAUGACCACAGCCUCCCCAGGUCACCCUUAGCUCCAUUCCCUGAAGGUCCCAGCAUCCUCUGGAAGGAGCUUGAGCUUGGGGUUCCAGGCUGGUCCAGGGAGACAGAAACCACCCCAUUCCCAUGACUAUUCCUCAGAGGUAAAGACCAGCUAUGUGAACUUGGAGGACUUCAGAUUCACCCUCUGGAAGAUGAUGGUGACACAUCCAACCAGACAAUGCGUCUGGCACUGGGAGUGGUGGUAUUUCUUGCUCUGUUCCCUGGUUUCCAUCAGAGAUCCCAAGUUAUCCCAGGGUCCUUGCUGACCCAGCCAUCUGACCCACGUGGAAAUCCCCAUCAGCCAUUGGUUCAUUCAACCAGCCUUGACGGCUCAGCACCAGGACCCACCGUAGCUGCUGGAGGUGAGGCUGGCAAAGCACAGACCUUGCCCGGAGAACACGCCGUGUCUGUGUUGGGGCAGGGAAGGGGAGCAGGCUUAGGGGGUGAGACACUGAGGCAUGAAAUUCCCUGAUGGUGGUUUUCCUAUUUCCAGAGGGGAAGGUGCUGGCAUGACAAAAAGCCUAGAUUCUUCCAACAGAGCUAGUCUUAGUAAAGACAACUCCUGCCCUUGACUUCUGCACCUGACUCCAGCCUGGUUCUGCCCUUUCCUAUCUCCUCACCAUCGUCACAUCCCUCUGACCACCCCCUUUCUUUUGCACCCCACCCCCAGCCCUGCUCCCUCCAGAGACCUGACCCAGGACCACUCUCCACCCAGAGGUGAGCAGCGGCACCGGAACCGGGCCCAGAGGUGCCAACAAGCACGUGCCUCAAGGCAGCCCCACGCAGAGAGUGAGCAGUGAUAGAAAUCUCACUGCCAUUUUGAGACUAAACUCCCAGCGCUCUGCUUUCAGGGCCCCUCCACCUGCCACUACCCAGCACCUUGCAAGCUCCUUCCUGGGGCUAUAGACCAGAACACAGGGCUCUUGGCCAUUCAAUUCCACCUGAUUGUGGGGUCCUGGUCCUGAGGCCCCCUUCUUCAGCCUCACUCCAGAAUCUCCUCCUCGCUCCCUCCGUGAAAACCCAAGUACCCUCUUUGCUUUGUACCCCACUUCUUAGCUUCUCCCCCACCUCAGAGCUUGACAGAGUGAUGCCCCUCCAGGCCUGAGCAGGGCUGGGUCCCAGAGCACAUACAUAGAGGCCAGGCAGAGAGGAGACACAGAGCCCACCCUCAAGGGAAUAAGUCACCAGGAAAGACCCCCCCGGGGCCAGGACACCUGCCCCAUCACCCCGGAGCCCUACUCCUCCCUCCCCUCUGCUCACAGCCCCCACCCAUAGCUCCUCCCUGAGUCCAGACCAGCAGGGCCACUGGCCCAGACCCACACCAGGUGCUUGGCCAAGGUGUGGGUAUAUUAUAAGGGGAGGCUGUGUAGGGUGGUGGUAUUUUUUCAAGUCAAGAGGAAACAGUCCAUGAGCAUAAACAGAGUCCCUCCGCCCAGCCAGCCCCUUAGCCAACCCCUAAGGAAGGCUUGCAGUGGACUCUGCUGGUGGGGAUACUCUGAGGCUCCCCAUGUCCAGCAGACAUGGAGCCUCUUGGCUGAAUAAUGGGGACAGAGGAGGGAAGAAAGCCAGAUACAUCCAGGAGGCAAACCAGAAAAUAAAUGUGGGCAGGAAACCUGAGCUUGGCCAAGGGACCACCUGAUGACCCUAUAGGAGGUUGAUGCUUCAGAGAGUCUAGAACCCUAAGCCCUGGAGCUGGCUUAGCAUACUCCCCUUAGCUGUGGGCUUUGCUGCCCAUUUGUGUCUUGUUCAGGACCAACAGGAGGCAGCGAGGGGCCAAGCCCUGCCCUUCUCCCCAUAACCAUCAUUGUUCUAGUUGCAUUACCUAAAGUCCAUGAUCAGAUGGAGUAAACUAGGUAAGAAGACUCUGGCAGAACUCUGGGCUCCCUCGACACACUCUGGCCCCCACCCCCAUGAACAGUGGGCAGUGGGCAAUGAGGACAGCUGGCCCUGCCCUCCAGGAUGUCCCAGGCCAGAGCAGCCAAGCACCUUGGGUGGACACUCGCGUGACAGCCCUUCUCACACA
rnacentral:lncRNA from 1 species